UACGAAGGGGGCUAGCGUUGCUCGGAAUCACUGGGCGUAAAGGGCGCGUAGGCGGCUUCGCAAGUCCGGGGUGAAAGCCCCCAGCUCAACUGGGGAAGUGCCUUGGAUACUGCGGAGCUCGAGCGAGAUAGGGGUCGUGGGAACUUCCGGUGGAGCGGUGAAAUGCGUUGAUAUCGGAAGGAACGCCGGUGGCGAAAGCGCACGACUGGACCUCUUCUGACGCUGAGGCGCGAAAGCCAGGGGAGCAAACGGGG
rnacentral:rRNA from 1 species